UGGCCACAGGAUGUACACAUUGACCUAGUUCUGUUUUUUUCUGCCUGAGAUGUCCAUGUCUGUGUCAGAGAGAGAUAACUGGCAAUAAAGCUGAAAGGCUCUGGGAACCAGCUUCCAUGGCAGUUGGCUCCAGGCUGGACAACCCUCACCUCCACCCAUUUAUUGCCAUUUUGUCUCUCCCUGAUGCGCCAGAGGGAGACAUGUGCCUUUGGGAUUAGCUGUUUGGGCGAUGACAAAGUCACCACACCAAGGGAGGGGAAGAGCUGGAAUGUGUCUCCAUUUGGAGACAAACCCAAGAGGCUUCUUGUAGCCAAGAGAGAAGAGCUGGCCAGGAUUGUUCCCUUUAAUCUCUUGGGGAUGAUUCCAGUCCAAAGGGUGAUAGCAUCUCUCCAAGACCCUAUGCUGAAUGUCCUCAUAGACACUGACACAUCUAAAUGAUUAAGGCCCAGAGGCUGCUGACCCCAUGCCACUGGGCUCCCUGGUCAGCUGUGUCAAAGGACAGAGGCCAGAGUGGCAUAGAAGCAGGACUGGCAAGGAAUGCUGCCAGGGGCACAGGACCACGCCGACUUGAAGACUCUUGCUUUCACAGAACAUGCUUCUUCUCUUUUAGAGGGUACUGGGGCCUGGUUCUGAAGAACAGCGUCUACCACACUAAGUUGUUUUAUGCAUUUUCUCAAAUGACAGCAGUUGAUGGCUGAGCCAGGAUAUUAUGGAGUUGUGUUCUUUAAACAAGCUUGUACACACACUCAUACAUGUGCCAGACAUCUAAAUGACUUGAGUGGACACCAUCUACCUGCAAAAGGCAGGUGCUGGAACGUGGAACUAUAUCCCGGCUCACGGCCAAGUCUGGUAAA